rnacentral:rRNA from 1 species
GAUCAUGGCUCAGGAUGAACGGCUGGCGGCGUGCCUAACACAUGCAAGUCGAACGAAGCUUGGGGAACGGAGAUUCGUCGAAGAGAACCAAGACUUAGUGGCGGACGGGUGAGUAAUGUAUGAGCAACCUGCCUUUCAGAGGGGGACAACAGUUGGAACGACUGCUAAUACCGCGUAACGUAGCGAGGGGGCAUCCCCUUGUUACCAAAGGAGCAAUCCGCUGAAAGAUGGGCUCAUAUCUGAUUAGCUUGUUGGCGGGGUAACGGCCCACCAAGGCGACGAUCAGUAGCCGGACUGAGAGGUUGAACGGCCACAUUGGGACUGAGAUACGGCCCAGACUCCUACGGGAGGCAGCAGUGGGGAAUAUUGGGCAAUGGGCGAAAGCCUCGACCCAGCAACGCCGCGUGAAGGAAGAAGGUCUUCGGAUUGUAAACUUCUUUUAUGAGGGACGAAGGACGUGACGGUACCUCAUGAAUAAGCCACGGCUAACUACGUGCCAGCCGCCGC